UCCGUAGGUUGAUAAUUAAGUCAGAGGUGAAAUCCUGCCGCUCAACGGUAGAAUUGCCUUUGAUACUGGUUAUCUUGAGUUAUUACGAAGUAGUUAGAAUAUGUAGUGUAGCGGUGAAAUGCAUAGAUAUUACAUAGAAUACCAAUUGCGAAGGCAGAUUACUAAUAAUCAACUGACACUGAUGGACGAAAGCGUGGGGAGCGAACA
rnacentral:rRNA from 1 species